AUGUUGAUGUUGAAUACUGGAGUAAGGAUGAUGAUCAAUGCUCUAAUGAACCUGCAUGAUGUAGCAUUAGGAUAUAGGGAGAGGCUGACUGCUCAUGGCAGCGCCGGAUCCGGUGGUCAGCCGUCGUCGUUGACUGUCCUCUUUGACGCAAGAGCACAUGGAGAAGGAGCUCGUGGUAGCGCUGGAUCCGGUGCCCAGCCGUUGCUGUUGCCUGUCCUCUUUGACGCGAGAGCACAUGGAGAAGGGGCUCGCGGCAGCGCUGGAACCGGUGGCCAGCCGUCGCCGUUGCCUGUCCUCUUUGACGUGAGAUCCACGCUGCUCCACUUCAUCCAGGUUCACCCGGCAUCAUGGAGCUUGACGAUGUUUCUGGCUAGUUUGCCACAUAACUUGCAGUCCAGGUCGUUGCCAUAUUCGGGUUCUAGGUCACAGAAACAAAAUUUAGAGUUAAUUUAUCUGGCUCAAAAUAUUUUGGCUCGGUAA
rnacentral:rRNA from 1 species